GCCUGUAUGGCUCAGUCAGUUAAGCCUCUGACUUCAGAUCAGGUCAUGAUCUCACGGCUCAUGGGUUCGAGCCCCGUGUCGGGCU
rnacentral:tRNA from 1 species